AUGUCCCAGAAGCACCUUCAGAUCAACCAAACGUUUGAGGAGCUGCGCCUGAUCACACAGGACACGGAGAGCGAGCUGAAGAAGCUGCAGCAGACCCAAGAGUACUUCAUCAUCCAGUACCAGGAGAGCCUGCGGAUCCAAGCUCAGUUUGCCCAGCUGGCCCAGCUGAACCCCCAGGAGCGCAUGAGCAGGGAGACAGCCCUCCAGCAGAAGCAAGUGUCCCUGGAGACCUGGCUGCAGCGAGAGGCACAGACACUGCAGCAGUACCGCGUGGAGCUGGCUGAAAAGCACCAGAAGACCCUGCAGCUGCUGAGGAAGCAGCAGACCAUCAUCCUGGACGACGAGCUGAUCCAGUGGAAGCGGCGGCAGCAGCUGGCCGGGAACGGGGGUCCCCCCGAGGGCAGCCUGGACGUGCUGCAGUCCUGGUGUGAGAAGCUGGCCGAGAUCAUCUGGCAGAACCGGCAGCAGAUCCGCAGGGCUGAGCACCUGUGCCAGCAGCUGCCCAUCCCUGGCCCCGUGGAGGAGAUGCUGGCCGAGGUCAACGCCACCAUCACAGACAUCAUCUCAGCCCUGGUCACCAGCACGUUCAUCAUCGAGAAGCAGCCUCC
rnacentral:lncRNA from 1 species